AUGAGAGCCUUGUGCUUGCUGGGCAUGUGGGUGAUAUGGACGCACCGGAACGAUAUCGUCUUUAACGGUGCAAGCCCCUCCACAGUGCAAGUACUCAGACGGAUCGGGAGGGAAGGAAGGACUUGGAGGCAAGCAGGGCUUUUGAAAGGGGACUUGGAUGGAGUGUUUGCGGGACUAGUAAGGUGGGGGUUCGCUCACCAACCAUCCGAAUUUCUUGAGGAAGCCAGAAAGGGGAGGAGGAGAGCGAUGGCGAUGGCUUCUGAAGAAGAGGCCGUCGGAGCAAUAUCGCGGGGGAGCCUUAAUGAGAGGUCGCCGGAGAGAUGUUGUCUCGUAUCUCCGGCCGCGUUCAACUCCAUGAAGCGCAUAUCUUCCGGUGCAGCGACGACGGAUCACCUCCUAAGGCGACGCAUGUUUGCCUCGAGGGAAGGACUCUUCGACCAUGCUCCUUACGAACAAAUCUGGACGGCAGGAUUUGCACCCUGCAUCUGUCAGGGAUCAGGCGGAUCAGGAGGAUCAGGAAUUCAUGUUCAGCUGAACCAUAGCAUGCUAGUAGCAGCACAAGCUCGGUCCGCCGCCGCCAACGGCCAUGUCAUCGUCGAUAUGGCUCCCCUGCUACUGGCUGCGGCGGAUUCCAUUUCCAUGGGAGCAGAACCCAAAGCAGCCGAGAUCGGUCGAUCCGAGGAGCAGCACGCCCGCUCCAUAUCUCAGACGCUGUUCUGCGCGCUCCUGCCGGCGUGCGUCACCUCGCGUGCUCUCUUCGAGCCUGCAGGUUCAGACUACGUCGGCCUUGCGAUCUACGCCGGCCUGCUGCUCGUCACGGCAAUUACGUACGCCGGCAUGUUCACGUCCAGCAGGGCGAGCGGCGGCAAGGCGUCCCUGCGCGUCGUGGCCUGCGUCGCUAUCGCCGUCAUGACCGUCGCGGGGUCGUCGUAG
rnacentral:rRNA from 1 species